rnacentral:rRNA from 1 species
GAUCUCGUCUGAUCUCGGAAGCUAAGCAGGGUCGGGCCUGGUUAGUAUCUUGGAUGGGAGACCACCUGGGAAUCCCGGGU